AGGCCUGUGGUGAAAUUGGUAUCACGGCGGUCUCCAAAACCGCUAUUCUGGGUUCGAGUCCCAGCAGGCCUG
rnacentral:tRNA from 1 species